rnacentral:rRNA from 1 species
AAAGCCUGAUCCAGCCAUGCCGCGUGGGUGAAGAAGGCCUUCGGGUUGUAAAGCCCUUUUGUUGGGAAAGAAAAGCAGCCGGCCAAUACCCGGUUGUUCUGACGGUACCCAAAGAAUAAGCACCGGCUAACUUCGUGCCAGCAGCCGCGGUAAUACGGAGGGUGCAAGCGUUACUCGGAAUCACUGGGCGUAAAGAGCACGUAGGCGGCCUUGCAAGUCAGAUGUGAAAUCCAACGGCUUAACCGUUGAACUGCAUUUGAAACUGCAAGGCUAGAGUAUGGGAGAGGUAGGUGGAAUUCUCGGUGUAGGGGUAAAAUCCGUAGAGAUCGAGAGGAAUACUCAUUGCGAAGGCGACCUGCUGGAACAUUACUGACGCUGAGGUGCGAAAGCGUGGGGAGCAAACA